UAGGGAAUCUUCGGCAAUGGACGAAAGUCUGACCGAGCAACGCCGCGUGAGUGAAGAAGGUUUUCGGAUCGUAAAACUCUGUUGUUAGAGAAGAACAAGGACGUUAGUAACUGAACGUCCCCUGACGGUAUCUAACCAGAAAGCCACGGCUAACUACGUGCCAGCAGCCGCGGUAAUAAGUAGGUGGCAAGCGUUGUCCGGCUUUAUUGGGCGUAAAGCUAGCGCAGGCGGUUUCUUAAGUCUGAUGUGAAAGCCCCCGGCUCAACCGGGGAGGGUCAUUGGAAACUGGGGGACUUGAGUGCAGAAGAGGAGAGUGGAAUUCCAUGUGUAGCGGUGAAAUGCGUAGAUAUAUGAAGGAACACCAGUGGCGAAGGCGGCUCUCUGGUCUGUAACUGACGCUGAGGCUCGAAAGCGUGGGGAGCAAACAGG
rnacentral:rRNA from 1 species